UACGAAGGGGGCUAGCGUUGCUCGGAAUCACUGGGCGUAAAGCGCGUGUAGGCGGCCAGGUAAGUCCGUUCUGAAAGCCCGGGGCUCAACCCCGGGAGGCGGAUGGAUACUGCUUGGCUCGAGUCCGGAAGAGGCGAGUGGAAUUCCCGGUGUAGCGGUGAAAUGCGCAGAUAUCGGGAGGAACACCAAUGGCGAAGGCAGCUCGCUGGGACGGUACUGACGCUGAGACGCGAAAGCGUGGGGAGCAAACAGG
rnacentral:rRNA from 1 species